UACGGAGGAUGCGAGCGUUAUCCGGAUUUAUUGGGUUUAAAGGGUGCGUAGGCGGGCUUUUAAGUCAGCGGUAAAAAUUCGGGGCUCAACCCUGUCCGGCCGUUGAAACUGGGGGCCUUGAGUGGGCGAGAAGAAGGCGGAAUGCGUGGUGUAGCGGUGAAAUGCAUAGAUAUCACGCAGAACCCCGAUUGCGAAGGCAGCCUUCCGGCGCCCUACUGACGCUGAGGCACGAAAGUGCGGGGAUCGAACAGG
rnacentral:rRNA from 1 species